rnacentral:rRNA from 1 species
AUGUGGUCAGUGCUACAAGAUCGCGUGCGACCGCACAAGCUGGCAUAUCCGAUGUGGUGCAAACCAGGCGUUUCGGUGACGGUCACGGCCACGAACUUCUGCCCGCCUAACAACGCGCUCCCGAGCGACAAUGGCGGCUGGUGCAACCCACCGAGGCCACACUUUGACAUGGCGCAACCGGCCUGGGAGAAGAUCGGCGUUUACAAAGGUGGCAUCAUCCCCGUCAUGUACCAGAGGGUCCCCUGCAUGAAGAAGGGUGGGGUGCGGUUCAAGAUCGAUGGUCACGAUUACUUCAACCUAGUUACUGUGAUGAACGUCGCAGGCGCCGGCUCGAUCAAAUCCAUGGAUGUCAAGAGCUCUGAAUCAAACGAUUGGAUGCCAAUGUCCCAUAACUGGGGUGCCAACUGGCACUCUCUAGCAAAUCUUACCGGAAAAAUGCUCUCGUUCAGGUUGACUGACACGGAUGGACAGACAAUUGAGUUCAACAAUAUUGUACCUGGUGGAUGGAAGUUCGGGCAAACAUUUGCAAGCAAACAACAAUUCAAGUGA